UACGAAGGGGGCUAGCGUUGUUCGGAAUUACUGGGCGUAAAGCGCGCGCAGGCGGUUCGAUAAGUUGGGGGUGAAAUCCCCGGGCUCAACCCGGGAAUGGCCUUCAAGACUGUCGAGCUUGAGGACGAGAGAGGUGAGUGGAAUUCCCAGUGUAGAGGUGAAAUUCGUAGAUAUUGGGAAGAACACCGGUGGCGAAGGCGGCUCACUGGCUCGUUUCUGACGCUGAGGCGCGAAAGCGUGGGGAGCAAACAGG
rnacentral:rRNA from 1 species